rnacentral:rRNA from 1 species
ACAUCUUCCGUAGGGUGAACCUGCGGAGGGAUCAUUACACAAAUAUGAAGGCGGGCUGGAACCUCUCGGGGUUACAGCCUUGCUGAAUUAUUCACCCUUGUCUUUUGCGUACUUCUUGUUUCCUUGGUGGGUUCGCCCACCACUAGGACAAACAUAAACCUUUUGUAAUUGCAAUCAGCGUCAGUAACAAAUUAAUAAUUACAACUUUCAACAACGGAUCUCUUGGUUCUGGCAUCGAUGAAGAACGCAGCGAAAUGCGAUAAGUAGUGUGAAUUGCAGAAUUCAGUGAAUCAUCGAAUCUUUGAACGCACAUUGCGCCCUUUGGUAUUCCAAAGGGCAUGCCUGUUCGAGCGUCAUUUGUACCCUCAAGCUUUGCUUGGUGUUGGGCGUCUUGUCUCUAGCUUUGCUGGAGACUCGCCUUAAAGUAAUUGGCAGCCGGCCUACUGGUUUCGGAGCGCAGCACAAGUCGCACUCUCUAUCAGCAAAGGUCUAGCAUCCAUUAAGCCUUUUUUUCAACUUUUGACCUCGGAUCAGGUAGGGAUACCCGCUGAACUUAAGCAUAUCAAAAAGCCGGGAAGAAAAAA